AGCGAACGCUGGCGGCAGGCCUAACACAUGCAAGUCGAACGGAUCCUUCGGGAUUAGUGGCGGACGGGUGAGUAACACGUGGGAACGUGCCCUUGUGUUCGGAACAACUCAGGGAAACUUGAGCUAAUACCGGAUGGGCCCUUCGGGGGAAAGAUUUAUCGCCAUUGGAGCGGCCCGCGUCUGAUUAGCUAGUUGGUGAGGUAACGGCCAACCAAGGGGACGAUCAGUAGCUGGUCAGCGAGGAUGAUCAGCCACCCUGGGAGUGAGACACGGCCCAGAAUCCUACGGGAGGCAGCAGUGGCGAAUCGUGCGCAAGGGGCGAAAGCCUGACGCAGCCACGCCGCGUGAAUGAUGAAGGUCUUAGGAUAGUAAAAUUCUUUCAGCGGGGACGAUAAUGACGGUACCCGCAGAAGAAGCCCCGGCUAACUUCGUG
rnacentral:rRNA from 1 species